GGAAACCGGGCGACUNGAGUGCAGAAGAGGACAGUGGAACUCCAUGUGUAGCGGUGGAAUGCGUAGAUAUAUGGAAGAACACCAGUGGCGAAGGCGGCUGUCUGGUCUGCAACUGACGCUGAGGCUCGAAAGCAUGGGUAGCGAACAGGAUUAGAUACCCUGGUAGUCCAUGCCGUAAACGAUGAGUGCUAGGUGUUGGAGGGUUUCCGCCCUUCAGUGCCGGAGCUAACGCAUUAAGCACUCCGCCUGGGGAGUACGACCGCAAGGUUGAAACUCAAAGGAAUUGACGGGGGCCCGCACAAGCGGUGGAGCAUGUGGUUUAAUUCGAAGCUACGCGAAGAACCUUACCAGGUCUUGACAUCUUGCGCUAACCUAAGAGAUUAGGCGUUCCCUUCGGGGACGCAAUGACAGGUGGUGCAUGGUCGUCGUCAGCUCGUGUCGUGAGAUGUUGGGUUAAGUCCCGCAACGAGCGCAACCCUUGUUACUAGUUGCCAGCAUUUAGUUGGGCACUCUAGUGAGACUGCCGGUGACAAACCGGAGGAAGGUGGGGACGACGUCAGAUCAUCAUGCCCCUUAUGACCUGGGCUACACACGUGCUACAAUGGACGGUACAACGAGUUGCGAACUCGCGAGAGUAAGCUAAUCUCUUAAAGCCGUUCUCAGUUCGGACUGUAGGCUGCAACUCGCCUACACGAAGUCGGAAUCGCUAGUAAUCGCGGAUCAGCAUGCCGCGGUGAAUACGUUCCCGGGCCUUGUACACACCGCCUGUCACACCAUGGAAGUUUGCAAUGCCCAAAGUCGGUGGCCUAACCAUUUGGA
rnacentral:rRNA from 1 species